rnacentral:tRNA from 1 species
GGGGCUAUAGCUCAGCUGGGAGAGCGCCUGACUGGCAGUCAGGAGGUCAGCGGUUCGAUCCCGCUUAGCUCCACCA